UGGGGCCGUGGUGGAAACGGUUUAACACAUCGCCCUUUCAAGGCGAGGAUUACGGGUUCAAUCCACGUCGGCCCUAU
rnacentral:tRNA from 1 species